AAGACCUCGCGCUAUUGGAGCGGCCGAUGUCCGAUUAGCUAGUUGGUGGGGUAACGGCUCACCAAGGCAACGAUCGGUAGCUGGUCUGAGAGGAUGAUCAGCCACACUGGGACUGAGACACGGCCCAGACUCCUACGGGAGGCAGCAGUGGGGAAUUUUGGACAAUGGGCGCAAGCCUGAUCCAGCCAUGCCGCGUGAGUGAAGAAGGCCUUCGGGUUGUAAAGCUCUUUCGGCCAGAACGAAAUCGUCCGGGCUAAUACUCCGGAUGGAUGACGGUACUGGAAGAAGAAGCACCGGCUAACUACGUGCCAGCAGCCGCGGUAAUACGUAGGGUGCGGGCGUUAAUCGGAAUUACUGGGCGUAAAGCGUGCGCAGGCGGUUUUUCAAGUCAGAUGUGAAAGCCCCGGGCUUAACCUGGGAACU
rnacentral:rRNA from 1 species